rfam:Danio rerio chromosome 4, GRCz11 reference primary assembly.
GGCUCGUUGGUCUAGGGGUAUGAUUCUCGCUUCGGGUCUGAGAGGUCCCGGGUUCAAAUCCCGGACGAGCCC